rnacentral:rRNA from 1 species
GAUGAACGCUGGCGGCGUGCUUAAUACAUGCAAGUCGAGCGGACAGACGCUGCGCUUGCUCCUCGCACGUUUGCGGCGGACGUGUGUGUCACACGUGUAUACCCCCCCUGUAAGUCUGAUAUAACUUCGGGACAGCGGAGCUAAUACCGUAUAAUAUCUUGAACCGCAUGGUUCAAUGGUGAAAGACGGUUUUUCUGUCACUUCUCGCUGCUUCUCCGCCGCAUGAGAUAGUUGGUAAGGUCACGGCCUACCAAGGCAACCAUGCGUAACCGAACUGAGAGGGGGAUCGGCGACAUUGGAACUGAGACGCGGUCCAGACUACUGAGGGAGGCAGCAGUAGGGAAUCUUCCGCAAUAGGCGGAAGCCUGACGGAGCAACGCCGCGUGAGUGAUGAAGGUCUUGGGAUCGUAAAACUCUGUUAUUAGGGAAGAACAAAUGUGUAAGUAGAUAUGCACGGCUUGACGGUAACUAAUCAGAAAGCCACGGCUAACUACGUG